AAAUAAGAAGCAAUAAUUUGCAUUUAAUUUCGACUUAAAAAUUAGAGUUAACUUACUCCUUAUUUA
rnacentral:tRNA from 1 species